GCAUAUCAAUAAGCGGAGGAAAAGAAACUAACAAGGAUUCCCUUAGUAACGGCGAGUGAAGCGGGAAGAGCUCAAAUUUGAAAUCUUCAAGGUUCUACCUUGACGAAUUGUAGUUUAAAGAAGUGUUUUCUGUUAGAUGAGUAGCAAAAGUUCCUUGGAAUGGGACAUCAUAGAGGGUGAGAAUCCCGUAUUUGGUUAUUCAUUCUAGCUUUGUGAUACACUUUCAAAGAGUCGGAUUGUUUGGGAAUGCAGUCCAAAAUGGGUGGUAAAUUUCAUCUAAAGCUAAAUAUUGGCGAGAGACCGAUAGCGAACAAGUACCGUGAGGGAAAGAUGAAAAGAACUUUGAAAAGAGAGUUAAACAGUACGUGAAAUUGUCAAAAGGGAAGCGUUUGACACCAGUGUUGUUUUUCCGAAAAUCAAUUACGAAUGGCUUGAUUUUGUGUUGUAUUGACCUUAUCAGCUUUCUGCACUUUUUUCGAGUCUUUCUUAAUGCACUUUUUGGUUAACAAGUCAACAUCAAUUUCUUUUGUUGUAAAAGAGUAUUCGGAAGGUGGCUUUCUUUUCGGAGAAAGUGUUUAUAGCCCUAUACUUCUACAAUCGGAGAGAUUGAGGUCUGCAGCGUAGAUCCUUCGGGGUUAGAUACACUUGUGCUAAGUUGUAGCUUUUCAUAGACAACUUGUUGACUAUGUUUAGUCAUGCGGCUUACUCGCUUGUGCUAUUUUACCUACGCUUAGGAUGUUGACAAAAUGGUUUUAAACGACCCGUCUUGAAACACGGACC
rnacentral:rRNA from 1 species